rnacentral:rRNA from 1 species
GUGGGGAAUAUUGGACAAUGGGCGAAAGCCUGAUCCAGCCAUGCCGCGUGUGUGAAGAAGGUCUUCGGAUUGUAAAGCACUUUAAGUUGGGAGGAAGGGUAGUAACCUAAUACGUUGCUACUUUGACGUUACCGACAGAAUAAGCACCGGCUAACUUCGUGCCAGCAGCCGCGGUAAUACGAAGGGUGCAAGCGUUAAUCGGAAUUACUGGGCGUAAAGCGCGCGUAGGUGGUUCAGUAAGUUGGAAGUGAAAUCCCCGGGCUCAACCUGGGAACUGCUUUCAAAACUGCUGAGCUAGAGUACGGUAGAGGGUGGUGGAAUUUCCUGUGUAGCGGUGAAAUGCGUAGAUAUAGGAAGGAACACCAGUGGCGAAGGCGACCACCUGGACUGAUACUGACACUGAGGUGCGAAAGCGUGGGGAGCAAACAGGAUUAGAUACCCUGUAGUCC